rnacentral:pre_miRNA from 1 species
UUAGUUCAUAUUUGUAUGGAAUGGGAUCGUUUGCUUACGUUUGCCGCUAGGGGCGCUGAUCCAACUGCAUACAAAAAUGGCUUA